rnacentral:rRNA from 1 species
ACUCCUACGGGAGGCAGCAGUGGGAAUAUUGCACAAUGGGGGAAGCCAUCGAUGCAGCCAUGCCGCGUGUGUGAAGAAGGCCUUCGGGUUGUAAAGCACUUUCAGUUGUGAGGAAAGGGAUGUAGUUAAUACCUGCAUUCUGUGACGUUAGCAACAGAAGAAGCACCGGCUAACUCCGUGCCAGCAGCCGCGGUAAUACGGAGGGUGCGAGCGUUAAUCGGAAUUACUGGGCGUAAAGCGUGCGUAGGCGGUUAUAUAAGCUAGAUGUGAAAGCCCGGGGCUUAACCUCGGAACUGCAUUUAGAACUGUAUGACUAGAGUUUUGUAGAGGGUGGUGGAAUUUCCAGUGUAGCGGUGAAAUGCGUAGAGAUUGGAAGGAACAUCAGUGGCGAAGGCGGCCACCUGGACAAAAACUGACGCUGAGGCACGAAAGCGUGGGUANCAAACNGGAUUUAGAUACCCUGGUAGGCUCUG